CGAGUUCACCGUUCUCAUUCAAAUAAUUAUCUCGAAUUAUUCAAAUACUCAAACUCAAUUACGGAUAUAAAAUCCCACAUCAUCCACACAUCAUCAAAAGAACAUCUCAACAUUUUUUUUAAAAAAAACAAAAAAACUUCAUAUAACUCCUCAUCUCUGUACAAAGUAAUAAAACAAGGGAUCUAUACCCUAAUUACUCAAACUCAAGCAACUAAACACGUC
rnacentral:lncRNA from 1 species